rnacentral:lncRNA from 1 species
UCACUCGUGCGUUUUGAGACAUUCUUUGUGUCAAAUGAUCUCCUCGUGGUGAAGAAUCAAAUUCAAAAGGAAUAAAAUCAAAGGGAAUUUCUUAUCCAUCCUAUGGGGUGGAAAAACACAUUACAUAAAAUCUAAAAUGCCCCUUAGAUUUUAGAGAUACAUCUCCGGACGUACCUUGUCUUAAGUUAAAACUUUAACUGAUUUGAAGACGCAUCUCCAGAAUAUUUCAAACCACACCCUAUGC